rnacentral:rRNA from 1 species
GACGAACGCUGGCGGCGCGCCUAACACAUGCAAGUCGAGCGAUGAACAUUGAAUGAUCCCUUCGGGGUGAUUUCGAUCGGAUUAGCGGCGAACGGGUGAGUAACGCGUGAGGAACCUGCCUCUUACAACGGGAUAGCCUCGGGAAACCGGGAUUAAUACCGUAUAAGACUCCGACAUCUCCUGAUGAUGAAGUCAAAGCGUUAGCGGUAAGAGAUGGCGUCGCGUCUGAUUAGCUUGUUGGCGGGGUCACGGCCCACCUAGGCGAUGAUCAGUAACCGUCCUGAGAGGGUGGACGGUCACAUUGGAACUGAGACACGGUCCAAACUCCUACGGGAGGCAGCAGUGGGGAAUCUUGCACAAUGGGGGCAACCCUGAUGCAGCGACGCCGCGUGAGCGAUGAAGGUUUUCGAAUCGUAAAGCUCUGUCCUAUGGGAAGAUAAUGACGGUACCAUGGGAGGAAGCCCCGGCUAACUACGUGCCAGCCGCCGCAGUAA